rnacentral:rRNA from 1 species
UACAGAGGUCCCAAGCGUUGUUCGGAUUCACUGGGCGUAAAGGGUGCGUAGGUGGGCAGGUAAGUCAGUGGUGAAAUCUCCGAGCUUAACUCGGAACUGCCGUUGAUACUAUUUGUCUUGAAUAUUGUGGAGGUAAGCGGAAUAUGUCAUGUAGCGGUGAAAUGCUUAGAUAUGACAUAGAACACCAAUUGCGAAGGCAGCUUACUACACAACGAUUGACGCUGAGGCACGAAAGCGUGGGGAUCAAACAGG